GUAAGGAAUAUUGGGCAAUGGAGGCAACUCUGACCCAGCCAUGCCGCGUGAAGGAUUGACGGCCCUCUGGGUUGUAAACUUCUUUUGUACGGGAAUAACCCUCCGAACGUGUUCGGAGCUGAAGGUACCGUAAGAAUAAGGAUCGGCUAACUCCGUGCCAGCAGCCGCGGUAAUACGGAGGAUCCAAGCGUUAUCCGGAUUUACUGGGUUUAAAGGGUGCGUAGGCGGAUUGAUAAGUCAGUGGUGAAAUCCUGCAGCUUAACUGCAGAACUGCCAUUGAUACUGCCAGUCUGGAGUAUGGUUGAGGUAGCUGGAAUGUGUCAUGUAGCGGUGAAAUGCUUAGAGAUGACACAGAACACCGACGGCGAAGGCAGGUUACCAACCCAUUACUGACGCUGAGGCACGAAAGCGUGGGGAUCAAACAGGAUUAGAAACCCGAGUAGUCC
rnacentral:rRNA from 1 species